rnacentral:rRNA from 1 species
GAUGAACGCUGGCGGCGUGCCUAAUACAUGCAAGUCGAGCGCAGCGGGGACGGGUGAGUAACACGUUGAUACCCUCCUAUAAGCCUGGGAUAACUUCGGGAAAACGGAGCUAAACCGGAUACUUAUAGAUGGAUCAUAGCUUAAGUAGCUAGUUGGUAAGGUAACGGCUUACCAAGGCAACGAUGCAUAGCCGACCUGCGAGGGUGAGCGCACACAUGGAGACUGAGACCAGGUCCAGAUCCCGACGGGAGGCAGCAAGAGGGAAUCUUCCGCAAUGGGCGAAAGCCUGACGGAGCAACGCCGCGUGAGUGAUUAAGGUUUUCGGAUCGUAAGACGCUUUUAUGAGGGAAGCGGUACCUAAUCAGAAAGCCACGGCUAACUACGUGCCAGCAGCCGCGGUAAUUC